GAUGAAGAACGUAGCGAAAUGCGAUAAGUAAUGUGAAUUGCAGAAUUCAGUGAAUCAUCGAAUCUUUGAACGCGCAUUGCGCCCCCUGGUAUUCCGGGGGGCAUGCCUGUUCGAGCGUCAUUUCAACCCUCAAGCUCUGCUUGGUAUUGGGCGUCGCCGGGGAGUCUCCCCGGCGUGCCUCAAAGCCAUCGGCGGUGGUGCCUUUCUCUAAGCGUGGUAGAAUUUUUAUUCGCUUCUGAGUUGGGCUUCGCCUGCCGGACAAACCGGGCCCUCGCGGCCCACCUUCUCAGGUUGACCUCGGAUCAGGUAGGGAUACCCGCUGAACUUAAGCAUAUCAAUAAGCGGAGGA
rnacentral:misc_RNA from 1 species